rnacentral:lncRNA from 1 species
GGCUGCGUCGCGCGGUGCGGCGUCCUCAACAGUGGGUACCCUUCGGCCUGAUCCAAGCUCGCGUGUGCUUUUCUUCUACCAAAGGCCGACUUCCCAGGUUUAGAUUUCGUGAUGAUCUAUUUUGGAUAAUUGUGUAAUAGAACAAACUAAGACGUCUCCCUAUGGCGUAAGCUCCCUGAGAACAGGGUCAGUUCUUCACUGCCUUUUCAGACUGGGGCUCAUUGUAGGCGCUCAGUAACUAUUACAGGAAAAUUGCAUACUGCAAGGCAAAGGUUAUUUAGGAUAAGCACAAGAGUUACUUGUUUGAGAUUCAGAAAGCAAAACCAUUGUCCUGUCGAUUUCUCCUCUCCGUGACAUGCCUGCCUGUUUAGUAGGCUGUCUUUCUCAUUAAAACAGAUCUGGUGGGUGAUGGUGGUGGUGGAGGCAGAGAGUGGUGGACUACUGAGAGAAACCCUGUCUGGGGAAAAAAACAAAAUCAAAAAAACCAAAAAACUAGAGAGCAGGUGUUAGUUCCAGCCAACUUUAUUGAGGUUUCCCCGGGCAGUUCUACUGGAAUACAGAACUCAGUCCUAGAACUCACAGAAACAUGUUCAUAAUGAGUUUUUUAUUUUGCUGUUUAGGAAUACACAGGACUGAAGUCGUUAUUUCUAGUAAUGAACUUUCUACAUAGCCUCAGUUUUCUACCUAGAUGUAUGAAGAACUAGACAGAAGUUUUAUGUAAAAUGAUCUAGACCGCUGUUGAUCUAAAACAAUAACUGCUUAAAAGAAAAUUAAAUAAAUUAUUUUAAGCUGCAUAGGGUCAGCAAUGGCCUAAAAAGGGAUUGAACAUAUCCUGGACAGUAUGUUUCUUUAUAAAAGAGAUUAGAUAAAUAUAUUUAUCUGCAGGAGGUGGGGGAAGAAAGUUAAUCAAGGCGUUUACCAGAUACACUGGUGGGAGCAUCAAGUUGGUGGACCACAGCACAGUGAGAAAAUCCUUUUGGAAGUUUUAGACGUCAUAUAUAUAUGAUGCCCCCUUUCAACAUGUUUUAUUUAAGAUAACUUUUAAAUUAAAUAUAUUCUAAUCAUAUUUUUCCUCUCCCUCAGAUCCUUCCAGAUCUUCCUGUCCCUGCUCACCCAACUUUUUUUUUUUUUUUUUUAAAUAUAUUUAUUUAUUUAUUAUAUGUAAAUACACUGUAGCUGUCCUCAGACACUCCAGAAGAGGGAGUCAGAUCUUGUUUCGGAUGGUUGUGAGCCACCAUGUGGUUGCUGGGAUUUGAACUCCUGACCUUCAGAAGAGCAGUCGGGUGCUCUUACCCACUGAGCCAUCUCACCAGCCCUCACCCAACUUUUAAGUUGUUUGUCAAACAAACAAAUCCAAUACUGUAACAAAACCAAGAAAAUAUAUAAAAUGACACCCCAAAAGAAAAACAAACAUCAAGUUGUAAUUAAAGAAAAGUGCAUGCGUGCUUGUGCAUGCAAGUGUACACACAUACACACACACAUACACACACACACACACACACACACACACAAAGCUGGAGUCUAUUAUAUGUUUGUCAACUAUUCCUGAAAAUGAGACCUUCUCUGGAGUGAUUGGUAUACACCAGUGUCACGCCAUUAAACAAAACUGUUUUUCCCUCUCCCAGCGGGUAUAAAUGACAGUUUAGUUCUUACCUUCAUCCUAGUGGUUUUCAUGCAUUCACUUUUUUAAAAAUACAACAAAAUAAAAUAUAAAACAAGACCCAUUACUUUGAGAUUGGACCAGGCAACCUAACAAAAGGAAGAAAACCCUUGAGAAGACACAAGAAUAAGAGACCCACUUGUUCACAGACAGGAAUUUAAACAACAACAACAACAGCAACGCACUAAACUGAAAAGCCAUACUGUCUAUACAGAGGACCUGGUGCAGACCCAUGCAGACCUUGUGCAUUCUGUGUCAGUCUCUGUGAGUUCCUGUGAGCUUUGCUCAUACUGAUUUAGUGGUCCUUGUUUCCUUGGUGUCCUCCAUCCCCUCUGGCUCUUGCGCUCUUUCUGUGCUCUUUCUACCUCCUGUUUUGCAGAGUUUCCUGAGCUCUGAUGGAAGGGAUUUGUUGGAGACAUCCUAUUUAGAGCUGAGUGUUCCAAGGUCUCUCACUCUCAUUGUAAUGCCUGGCUGUGGGUCCCAAUAUUUGUUUCCAUCUGCUUCAGGAGAAAGCUUCUCUGAUGAUGGCUGACCAAGGCACUAAUUUAUGAGUACAACAGGAUAUUUUUAGAAUAAUAAAUAUUAUUUGUAUUUUAUUACUACACUGAUUUCUUUUCUCUCUUUUUUUUUUUUUGACUAGUAUUAUUUGAUUUUAUCCUAGGUCCCUGAACUAUCUAGUCUCUGGUUCUUGGCCACCCAAGUAGUAUGGACCACCCAAGC